rnacentral:rRNA from 1 species
CCUACGGGAGGCAGCAGUGGGGAAUAUUGGACAAUGGGCGAAAGCCUGAUCCAGCCAUGCCGCGUGUGUGAAGAAGGCCUUUUGGUUGUAAAGCACUUUAAGCGAGGAGGAGGCUACCGAGAUUAAUACUCUUGGAUAGUGGACGUUACUCGCAGAAUAAGCACCGGCUAACUCUGUGCCAGCAGCCGCGGUAAUACAGAGGGUGCGAGCGUUAAUCGGAUUUACUGGGCGUAAAGCGUGCGUAGGCGGCUUUUUAAGUCGGAUGUGAAAUCCCUGAGCU